rnacentral:lncRNA from 1 species
CUAGAAAUGAUGUCUUUUCCAAGAUGGCAGCUAACAUGGUAAGUUUGAAUUUUUGUAGGGAUUGUGGGGAGAGGGAGUGGACUAUCUUCGACUAAAACAAGAUUAAAAAUCCUAAGUUUAAGCUAAAGGAAGAGAUAAGAGGUAGGAAAGGUCCACACCUCACAUAAUGUGCAUGUACUUAUAAUUAUAUUCAUGCUUUUUAUCAUAUUUGAGGAUUGUUUUCUACUUGGUUAAUUUAUCAUUUAACUCUGUACAAUGUAUAGUGUGUUUUUGAAAUACACAAAGUUGCCUUUUUGUAGCUAUAAGAGUCAUUGGACCAUGCAAUUGUCAUAACAGAGCUGAAGAUUGGUUUCUUAAAUAGACAUGUUAUAUGAAGAUUUGUUCUAUAUUAAGGACAACAUCCAAGAAAUACAGUGGUUUUACUUGUUCUAACUUCACCAUUGAUAAUCUAGUCCUAAUACUAAAGUCUUUUUGUAGCUCUCUUUAUCUUAUUUUCAUCUUAUUCUCAUCUUUCCAGGAAAUAAAUAUGUCAUUGAUGUAUUGCACAUUAUGUUUAAUAGAUAAUUUAUAUUUUUCAAGAACAUUAGUCUCAACAAAACAAAGGAAAAACCCAUGCUAUGUAACUUCUUGAGGUAAUUUAUUAAGCAAUUAUAAAAAUGGCCAGAAAACCAAAGUAUACAGGGUCGUCAAGGUAAAUCUAGAAAAAUCACGAUGUAAUUAAAAACGACAAAAUUGCAAGA